UUGGAGGGCAAGUCUGGUGCCAGCAGCCGCGGUAAUUCCAGCUCCAAUAGCGUAUAUUAAAGUUGUUGCAGUUAAAAAGCUCGUAGUUGAAUUUCGGGGUUCAUCCGUUGGUCGGGCUUUUUUGGUCUGUACUGGCGUGAUGGAUUCCUACCUUCUGAAUAACCAGCAUGUCAUUAAUUUGGUGCGCUGGGGAAGCAGGACUGUUACCUUGAAAAAAUUAGAGUGCUUAAAGCAGGCUAUCGCCUGAAUACAUUAGCAUGGAAUAAUGAAAUAGGACGGCAUGGUUCUAUUUUGUUGGUUUCUAGGAUCACCGUAAUGAUUAAUAGGGAUAGUUGGGGGCAUUAGUAUUCAAUUGUCAGAGGUGAAAUUCUUGGAUUUAUUGAAGACUAACUUCUGCGAAAGCAUUUGCCAAGGAUGUUUUCAUUAAUCAAGAACGAAAGUUAGGGGAUCGAAGACGAUCAGAUACCGUCGUAGUCUUAACCAUAAACUAUGCCGACUAGGGAUCGGACGAUGUUAAUUUUUUAAUGACUCGUUCGGCGCCUUACGGGAAA
rnacentral:rRNA from 1 species